AAAACACCUAGCCUAGCCACACCCCCACGGGACCCAGCAGUAGUAAACAUUAAGCAAUGAGCGCCUUUUUUCAAGCUCGACUUAGUUACGAUAAACCGGGUCGGUAAAUUUCGUGCCAGCCACCGCGGUUAUACGAAAGACCCAUAAUAAUAGAACCCCGGCGUAAAACGUGANUAGAACCACAUCCUUUCCAAGAAACCCAAACACCUGCCAAGUUAUAAAAUACACCCGGCACCCUUGAAGCCCACACGUUUCAACAAAACGAACCCUUUUGACUCACGAAAACCAAGAAACAAACUGGGAUUAGAUACCCUACUAUGCUUGGCCGUAACCCUAGACAUUCCCCCCAACUAAAUGUCCGCCAGAGAACUACAAGCGAAAAACUCAAAACUCAAAAGACUUGACGGUGCCCCAUAUCAACCUAGAGGAGCCUGUCCUAUAAACGAUGCCCCACGAAAAACCUCACCCCCCCUAGUAUAACUCAGCCUAUAUACCGCCGUCGCCAGCUUACCUUGCAAAAGCUUUAAAGUAGGCAAAAUGGGCCCUCCGCCCAAAACGUCAGGUCAAGGUGUAGCACAUGGGCGGGGCCAGAGAUGGGCUACAUUUUCUAUAAAAGAAAACACCAACCCCUGCCCUGAAAAGUAGCCUCCGGUGGAUUUAGCA
rnacentral:rRNA from 1 species